rnacentral:rRNA from 1 species
GGGGAAUAUUGCACAAUGGGGGAAACCCUGAUGCAGCGACGCCGCGUGGAGGAAGAAGGUUUUCGGAUUGUAAACUCCUGUCGUUAGGGACGAUAAUGACGGUACCUGUUUAGAAAGCCACGGCUAACUACGUGCCAGCAGCCGCGGUAAUACGUAGGUGGCGAGCGUUGUCCGGAAUUACUGGGUGUAAAGGGAGUGUAGGCGGGAAGGCAAGUCAGAAGUGAAAAUUAUGGGCUUAACCCAUAACCUGCUUUUGAAACUGUUUUUCUUGAGUGAGGCAGAGGCAAGCGGAAUUCCUAGUGUAGCGGUGAAAUGCGUAGAUAUUAGGAGGAACACCAGUGGCGAAGGCGGCUUGCUGGGCCUUUACUGACGCUGAGGCUCGAAAGCGUGGGGAGCAAACAGGAUUAGAUACCCUGGUAGUCCACGCCGUAAACGAUGAUCACUAGGUGUGGGGAGUUGAACCUUUCCGUGCCGGAGUUAACACAAUAAGUGAUCCACCUGGGGAGUACGACCGCAAGGUUGAAACUCAAAGGAAUUGACGGGGGCCCGCACAAGCAGUGGAGUAUGUGGUUUAAUUCGAAGCAACGCGAAGAACCUUACCAGGUCUUGACAUCGAGUGACGAUCCCAGAGAUGGGAUUUCCCUUCGGGGCACGAAGACAGGUGGUGCAUGGUUGUCGUCAGCUCGUGUCGUGAGAUGUUGGGUUAAGUCCCGCAACGAGCGCAACCCUUACUAUUAGUUGCUACGCAAGAGCACUCUAAUAGGACUGCCGUUGAUAAAACGGAGGAAGGUGGGGAUGACGUCAAAUCAUCAUGCCCUUUAUGACCUGGGCUACACACGUACUACAAUGGCGUUUAACAAAGAGAAGCGAAACCGCGAGGUUGAGCAAAUCCCCAAAAAACGUCUCAGUUCAGAUUGCAGGCUGCAACUCGCCUGCAUGAAGUCGGAAUUGCUAGUAAUCGUAGGUCAGCAUACUACGGUGAAUACGUUCCCG